AUUGAACGCUGGCGGCAGGCCUAACACAUGCAAGUCGAGCGAGCGGCGGACGGGUGAGUAAUGUAUGGGGAACUGCCCGAUAGAGGGGGAUAACUACUGGAAACGGUAGCUAAUACCGCAUACCAUCGGAUGUGCCCAUAUGGGAUUAGCUAGUAGGUGGGGUAACGGCUCACCUAGGCGACGAUCCCUAGCUGGUCUGAGAGGAUGACCAGCCACACUGGAACUGAGACACGGCCCAGACUCCUACGGGAGGCAGCAGUGGGGAAUAUUGCACAAUGGGCGCAAGCCUGAUGCAGCCAUGCCGCGUGUGUGAAGAAGGCCUUAGGGUUGUAAAGUACUUUCAGCGGGGAGGCGUUACCCGCAGAAGAAGCACCGGCUAACUCCGUGCCAGCAGCCGCGGUAAUUC
rnacentral:rRNA from 1 species